rnacentral:tRNA from 1 species
GCAGCGAUGAUCUAGUGGUAUGAUUCGACCUUCCCAAGGUCGCUGUCCGGGUUCGAUUCCCGGUCGCUGCA